UCACUCCUACGGGAGGCAGCAGUGGGGAAUAUUGCACAAUGGGGGAAACCCUGAUGCAGCCAUGCCGCGUGUGUGAAGAAGGCCUUCGGGUUGUAAAGCACUUUCAGUAGGGAGGAAGGUAGUGUAGUUAACACCUGCACCUAUUUGACGUUACCUACAGAAGAAGCACCGGCUAACUCCGUGCCAGCAGCCGCGGUAAUACGGAGGGUGCGAGCGUUAAUCGGAAUUACUGGGCGUAAAGCGCAUGCAGGCGGCCUGUUAAGUCAGAUGUGAAAGCCCGGGGCUUAACCUCGGAAUUGCAUUUGAAACUGGCAGGCUAGAGUCUUGUAGAGGGGGUAGAAUUUCAGGUGUAGCGGUGAAAAUGCGUAGAGAUCUGAAGGAAAUACCAGUGGCGAAGGCGGCCCCCCUGGACAAAGACUGACGCUCAGACUGCGAAAGCGUGGGGAGCCAAACAGGAUUAGAUACCCCUGGUAG
rnacentral:rRNA from 1 species